rnacentral:rRNA from 1 species
UUUAGGUUCGGAAUAACUCAGGGAAACUUGUGCUAAUACCGAAUGUGCCCUUCGGGGGAAAGAUUUAUCGCCUUUAGAGCGGCCCGCGUCUGAUUAGCUUGUUGGUGGGGUAAUGGCCCACCAAGGCUACGAUCAGUAGCUGGUCUGAGAGGAUGACCAGCCACAUUGGGACUGAGACACGGCCCAAACUCCUACGGGAGGCAGCAGUGGGGAAUCUUGCGCAAUGGGCGAAAGCCUGACGCAGCCAUGCCGCGUGUAUGAUGAAGGUCUUAGGAUUGUAAAAUACUUUCACCGGUGAAGAUAAUGACUGUAGCCGGAGAAGAAGCCCCGGCUAACUUCGUGCCAGCAGCCGCGGUAAUACGAAGGGGGCUAGCGUUGCUCGGAAUUACUGGGCGUAAAGGGAGCGUAGGCGGACAUUUAAGUCAGAGGUGAAAUCCCGGAGCUUAACUUCGGAACUGCCUUUGAUACUGGGUGUCUUGAGUGUGAGAGAGGUAUGUGGAACUCCGAGUGUAGAGGUGAAAUUCGUAGAUAUUCGGAAGAACACCAGUGGCGAAGGCGACAUACUGGCUCAUUACUGACGCUGAGGCUCG